CUGUGCUGACGUACUACUAGGCUUGGGAUUGGGAGAGGGUAGAGGUAUUCCUUGUGUAGGGGUUAAAUCCUUUAAUCCAAGGAAGACCACCGGUGGCGAAGGCGUCUACCUGGAACAAGUCCGACGGUGAGGGACGAAAGCGUGGGGAGCGAACGGGAUUAGAUACAAACUUUUCUAAUCCGAAGAUACCAAAAAUGAUUGGAUGGUUUGCUAGAAACCCCGGUAGUCCACGCCGUAAACGAUGCCCGCUUGAUGUUGCAAACUUUACGGGAGUUUGCAGUGUCGGAGUGUAAAUGUUAAGCGGGCCACCUGGGGAGUACGGCCGCAAGGCUAAAACUUAAGGGAAUUGGCGGGAGAGCACACAAGGGGUGUGAGCUGCGGUUUAAUUGGAUUCAACGCCGGGAAUCUCACGAGGGUUGACAGCAGAAUGAAGGUCAGCCUAACGGGUUUACCAGACAAGCUGAGAGGUGUUGCAUGGCCAUCGUCAGCUCGUACCUUGAGGCGUGCGGUUAAGUCCGUU
rnacentral:rRNA from 1 species